GUUUUUUUAUAACUCAAUUGGUAGUUUUCAUCAUAAAACUUAUGUACAUAUACUUUUUUCUGAAGAAAAUUCUUUAAUUUAUUCAUAUUUAGAAGAAGUCUACUUUAUUUUAAUUGCUUCCUUCCAGGAAGCAGUUCACCCGACAUAUUGUCCGUAUGCAAAGUGACCUCAGUGUGACCCAUCUCGCAAAAAUCCGGUGAUCACAAUACGCAUGGAUGUCCUUAAAAUAGACUAUUAUCUGAAUUUACAUGUUAAACACGUGCUCAAUUUCCAUGCUUUUUUGUUGAUUUUUUUUGUCAAUUGUUGACAAACAGGUGACAAUCGUUAAACUUCGGCUUCAAAACACGAACUUUAAUUACCUGCCAUAUUUUUACAACAACACUGACC
rnacentral:lncRNA from 1 species